rnacentral:tRNA from 1 species
AGGGGAUUAGUUUAAACGGUUAAAACACCGGACUUUGACUCCGGUAAUGAGGGUUCAAUUCCUUCAUCCCCCACCA